rnacentral:ncRNA from 1 species
UAUAUAUAUAUAUAUAUAUAUAUAUAUAUAUAUAUAUAUAUAUAUAUAUAUAAUAUGCAUAUACAUAAUGUAUAUAAUAUAUACGUAUAUAUAAUAUAUAAUAUACAGCAUAUAUAUAUAUAUAUAUAUAUAUAUAUAUAUAUGAGAGGGCAAGUCUGGUGCCAGCAGCCGCGGUAAUUCCAGCUCUCAAAGUGUAUAUCGUCAUUGCUGCGGUUAAAAAGCUCGUAGUUGGAUCUGCGUCUCAGGACCUCUUUCAGCUUGCGCAGUGGAUUUUUUAGGUGAGCACAUUAUGUGUAGAACGGACCCUAUCCUGUACUUCUAAGGAUCACCU